rnacentral:rRNA from 1 species
CAGCAGCCGCGGUAAUACGUAGGUGGCAAGCGUUGUCCGGAUUUAUUGGGCGUAAAGCGAGCGCAGGCGGUCAAUUAAGUCUGAUGUGAAAGCCCCCGGCUCAACCGGGGAGGGUCAUUGGAAACUGGUUGACUUGAGUGCAGAAGAGGAGAGUGGAAUUCCAUGUGUAGCGGUGAAAUGCGUAGAUAUAUGGAGGAACACCAGUGGCGAAGGCGACUCUCUGGCCUGUAACUGACGCUGAGGCUCGAAAGCGUGGGUAGCAAACAGGAUUAGAUACCCGUGUAGUCCCUGUCUCUUAUAC